GCCUGCAGUGUGUGUGUGCGCGCGCGCGGCGAGGAGAGAGGCGCGUGUGCGAGUGAGUGUGCGAGCCGGGUGCGCGUGUGAGUGUGCGCGUGUGAGUGUGCGUGCGCGUGGCGCUCGCGGCUACGGGGCUGCCGGGAGCCGGGCCGGGCCCGGGUCUGAGAUCUGCGGCGCGCUGGGCACGCAGAGCGGGCGGGCCACUCGGACCCGAAUGAGUCUGGGCUCCCGGAGGUGCCCGCGGGCAGAGCGUUAGGGGCGCGGCCGUGCCGGACCCGCCCUGGGGACCCACUGGAGCUGGAGGAGGAACUAACUAUGGCUUCCUGUCGUCUUCCGAGCAGCUGUGGCUCUCAGGCUGGCCCAAGCCUGUGGCCUGUGUGUCCUCCAUCGUCAGGGACCCCUCUCAGGACGGGCUGCACCGAGGGUGGAACGGCGGGCUUCCAGGGACAAUUCGAAGUCAUGUCGAUGCAGAUACCUCAGUAUACACUGCUCAGUUAAGAGACCACGACCCGAGACAUUGUUUUAAAGGGGUGAAAAAGCCUCCACUCAAGUGGCCCAGGAGCGUGAUCCAGGAAGAUGAACACACAGAACCAUCUUCUGCGUUACUGGAAAAUUCAGUGGAAACUAGGACUCCAAGCUGCUUUUCCCUCUCUGCAGCUUCCGAGGCUGGGAAAACUUCCUAGGAGAAAGCAAGAGAAAGCCGCCAGCCAGGGCCGAGGACUAAACGUUGGGGUCGAGGGGCGCAGAGGAGCGGGUUCACCCCUGCGCACCCCAAGGCCUCUCCAGCACCCGCGAGGUCGUCCGUGAGCGCCCAGGCCCCCGAAAUGCCUGCCCUGCUCCUGACAAACGGAGGGGGUAGGAUGUGGAGGGGUAGCGCAACCAGUUACGCUUUUGUAAACACAAGAAUAGAAAAAUAAAUGGAGGAA
rnacentral:lncRNA from 1 species